GACGAAGGAUGCAAGCGUUAUCCGGAUUCAUUGGGUUUAAAGGGAGCGUAGGUGGCCUUAUAAGUCAGUGGUGAAAUCUCUCGGCUUAACCGAGAAAUUGCCAUUGAUACUGUAGGGCUUUGAGUAUAUGUCCGUUGGCGGAAUAUGACAUGUAGUGGUGAAAAUACAUAGAGAUGUCAUAGAACACCAUUGCGAAGGCAGCUGACAAACUAUAACUGACACUAGGCUCAAAAGUGCGGGGGAUCAAAACAGGAUUAGAAA
rnacentral:rRNA from 1 species